GCUAUCAAAUUGCACCUUCCCAGGGUGGUCUGGGCUUAACGUUAGCCAGAUUGGAGCUACGGGAGCUGCAGGUGGAACUCAAACCUUGGACCUGGUUUAGCGCUCCUAACCUAGAGACUUUUAAAUUAAACAAACGUCCAAGAUACCUGCCUUUCACUAGAAUAUCAGCCGAUAACAAAAAUGGUCCGAAAAGCUCCGUAACAUUUUUUAGGGCUACAGACAGGCUUUCUUAUCACUUUCUUUCUGCUCUGGGGUGCCCUUUUUCUCUUGAAAAUUCAUAUUCUGCCAGGUCCUUUUAAAAGCCAGUAUCUUUCCAACUCUCAUCUGAAGCUCCAGCUGCCCUGGCUGCCAGUUGAGCAUCUGUCUCCGACCCUUCUGCUUCCUCGAAGGAGGGGGCAGACAGCGAUGCAAGUGUCUUGUAAUGACAGCGCUACUGCAGAAAAUACUUUAUGGACUGAAAGAGAUCGACAGAGAGGUGGGGAAGAAUGGAAGAGCCAGAGGAUGUGGAGGAGCACUGUGAAAUGCUGUCUUCAGGACAUGUCAGUUGCACUCAUGAACUCUCUGAAGCUGUGGCUCCCUGCACAAAUUCAAGUCUGCAUUCCAACAGGUAGCAUCGAUCGGACUCAGCAGGCUAUUAGCCAGAAAAGGAGAGGCCAUUAAGCAGAAAGGAGAAGGGGAGAAGGGGAAAGGAGUUAGGGUGCACACGAUCAAGAUGCACUGCUCACAUUCAAGAAUUGUCAAACACGGAAUAAAAGAUAUUCUAUUUUCUUAAAAA